rnacentral:rRNA from 1 species
CCACCUCUUCCCAUCCCGAACAGAGAAGUUAAGCCCGCUUGCGCCGAUGGUACUGCACCACAAUGUGGGAGAGUAGGUAGCCGCCCUUU